GGUUAAGUUAAUAAGGGCGCACGGUGGAUGCCUUGGCACUAGGAGCCGAAGAAGGACGGCACUAACACCGAUAUGCCUCGGGGAGCUGUAAGUGAGCUGUGAUCCGGGGAUUUCCGAAUGGGGAAACCCACUGUUCGUAAUGGAGCAGUAUCCAUGUGUGAAUACAUAGCACAUGAGAAGGCAGACUCAGGGAACUGAAACA
rnacentral:rRNA from 1 species